rnacentral:lncRNA from 1 species
CCCGCUUGAUUUUUGAAGAACUUCAGAAGUUGCUGAACUUUAAACCCUGUGUUAGAUUGAUUUCAAGCACGCGAAGGCAACAGCACAACAGAACAAAAUCACAACAUUUGGGAAACAGGAUUCAAAAUGCUCAGAUUGAAUAUAAAAAUAUCACAAUCUUUUAGAUUUAUUUGCCCCACAUACUCAUCAUAUUCUCAUCGAAUACUUUCUAUCUGAGUAACAUUGAAAGUAUGUGCGAGAUUUACUUAUGUGUAUUCCAUACCACAUGGUAUAAACGAAGAUGGCUGCCGAAGAAGUGUUACAUCGUUAACUUAAAGAUAACUUGAAGGUGUGGAAAUACUUUUAAAUCAACUACAACGACUGCGGGUUUUGGAAACAGCUAGCAAAGAAGGAUGGAACUUUAGCGGGAGCAAAUUGAACGAGGUGUCGUAAAACUAUUUAUUUCCUAAUAUUUUUACAGAUAAUAUGUAUUGAACUUUGGAGUAACGAAAAAAGUUUCUGUGUAACAAUGUUUCCAAUAUAACUGAUUAACAGAACAAAAUUGUA